rnacentral:rRNA from 1 species
AUUGAACGCUGGCGGCAGGCUUAACACAUGCAAGUCGAGCGGAGAUGAGGUGCUUGCACCUUAUCUUAGCGGCGGACGGGUGAGUAAUGCUUAGGAAUCUGCCUAUUAGUGGGGGACAACAUUCCGAAAGGAAUGCUAAUACCGCAUACGUCCUACGGGAGAAAGCAGGGGAUCUUCGGACCUUGCGCUAAUAGAUGAGCCUAAGUCGGAUUAGCUAGUUGGUGGGGUAAAGGCCUACCAAGGCGACGAUCUGUAGCGGGUCUGAGAGGAUGAUCCGCAACACUGGGACUGAGACACGGCCCGGAUUCCUACGGGAGGCGGCAGUGGGGAAUAUUGGACAAUGGGGGGAACCCUGAUCCAGCCAUGCCGCGUGUGUGAAGAAGGCCUUAUGGUUGUAAAGCACUUUAAGCGAGGAGGAGGCUACUGAGACUAAUACUCUUGGAUAGUGGACGUUACUCGCAGAAUAAGCACCGGCUAACUCUGUGCCAGCAGCCGCCGUAA